rnacentral:rRNA from 1 species
CCCUUAGAUGUCCUGGGCUGCACGCGCGCUACACUGAUGUGUCCAGUAAGCACCUAACCUAUUCCGAGAGGAGCGGGUAACCUUAGCAAAGCACAUCGUGAUAGGGAUAGAUUAUUGCAAUUAUUAAUCUUGAACGAGGAAUUCCUAGUAAACGCAGUUCAUCAAACUGCAUUGAUUACGUCCCUGCCCUUUGUACACACCGCCCGUCGCACCUACCGAUUGAAUGGUCCGGUGAAGCCUCGGGAUUGUGGCUGGCUUCCUUUAUUGGAGGUCGGUUGCGAGAACUUGUCUAAACCUUAUCAUUUAGAGGAAGGUGAAGUCGUAACA